CCUACGGGUGGCUGCAGUGAGGAAUAUUGGUCAAUGGGCGCGAGCCUGAACCAGCCAAGUAGCGUGAAGGAUGACUGCCCUACGGGUUGUAAACCUCUUUUGUCGGGGAGCAAAGAGAGUCACGUGUGGCUCAUUGAGAGUACCCGAAGAAAAAGCAUCGGCUAACUCCGUGCCAGCAGCCGCGGUAAUACGGAGGAUGCGAGCGUUAUCCGGAUUUAUUGGGUUUAAAGGGUGCGCAGGCGGAGGUGCAAGUCAGUGGUCAAAUUGCGGGGCUCAACCCCGUACUGCCGUUGAAACUGCAUCCCUUGAGUGCGCGAGAAGUAUGCGGAAUGCGUGGUGUAGCGGUGAAAUGCUUAGAUAUCACGAAGAACCCCGAUUGCGAAGGCAGCUUACUAAACUGUGACUGACAUUGAUGCUCGAAAGUGUGGGUAUCAAACAGGAUUAGAUACCCGAGUAGUC
rnacentral:rRNA from 1 species